rnacentral:rRNA from 1 species
GAUGAACGCUAGCGACAGGCCUAACACAUGCAAGUCGAGGGGCAGCACGAGGUAGCAAUACUGAGGUGGCGACCGGCGCACGGGUGAGUAACACGUAUGCAACCUGCCGGUAAACGGGGAUAGCCUCUCGAAAGAGAGAUUAAUACCGCAUAAUAUAUAGAUACUGCAUGGUAUUUAUAUUAAACAUUUAUGGUUUACCGAUGGGCAUGCGUAUGAUUAGAUAGUUGGUGAGGUAACGGCUCACCAAGUCAACGAUCAUUAGGGGUUCUGAGAGGAAGGUCCCCCACACUGGUACUGAGACACGGACCAGACUCCUACGGGAGGCAGCAGUGAGGAAUAUUGGUCAAUGGGCGAGAGCCUGAACCAGCCAAGUCGCGUGAAGGAAGACGGUGCUAUGCAUUGUAAACUUCUUUUGUAAGGGAAUAAAAAGAGUUACGCGUAACUUAUUGUAUGUACUUUACGAAUAAGGAUCGGCUAACUCCGUGCCAGCAGCCGCCGCCGUAA